GAACAGCAGGAGGAAGCUGUGAUGCUGGAGAAACUGGGCAGUACAAACCCUAUCAGGCACAAGGAAGGAGGCCCUGAGGGAGGAGAAAGCAAGGCACAAACCGCUUGUUGUCUCUGCACCCAUAAGAAAAAAUGAGCAAAUGAAUAAUACCAUGUAAAGAGACAAGAGGUUCUCAGCACCCAGGACUGGAAGCUUUGUGCUCAACACCUCUGAAAAUCCAGAUCACUUUCUGCUAAAUACUUCCCUAUGACUUUAGGUUAUGAGUAUUUCUUUCUUACAUUGCAAUAGCACCUAGACCCCAGUAAGGGUUGGGGCUCCAUUCUGUUUGCAUUGUGGACAGUCCCUGCUCUGAU